rnacentral:rRNA from 1 species
GAUGAACGCUGGCGGCGUGCCUAAUACAUGCAAGUCGAGCGAACAGACGAGGAGCUUGCUCCUCUGACGUUAGCGGCGGACGGGUGAGUAACACGUGGAUAACCUACCUAUAAGACUGGUAUAACUUCGGGAAACCGGAGCUAAUACCGGAUAAUAUAUUGAACCGCAUGGUUCAAUAGUGAAAGACGGUUUUGCUGUCACUUAUAGAUGGAUCCGCGCCGCAUUAGCUAGUUGGUAAGGUAACGGCUUACCAAGGCUACGAUGCGUAGCCGACCUGAGAGGGUGAUCGGCCACACUGGAGCUGAGACACGGUCCAGACUCCUACGGGAGGCAGCAGUAGGGAAUCUUCCGCAAUGGGCGAAAGCCUGACGGAGCAACGCCGCGUGAGUGAUGAAGGUCUUCGGAUCGUAAAACUCUGUUAUUAGGGAAGAACAAAUGUGUAAGUAACUAUGCACGUCUUGACGGUACCUAAUCAGAAAGCCACGGCUAACUACGUG